rnacentral:rRNA from 1 species
UACGUAGGGUGCGAGCGUUGUCCGGAAUUAUUGGGCGUAAAGGGCUCGUAGGCGGUUUGUCGCGUCGGGAGUGAAAUCCACUGGCUUAACUGGUGGCUUGCUUUCGAUACGGGCAGACUGGAGGUAUGCAGGGGAGAACGGAAUUCCUGGUGUAGCGGUGAAAUGCGCAGAUAUCAGGAGGAACACCGGUGGCGAAGGCGGGUUGCUGGGCUGAUACUGACGCUGAGGCGCGAAAGCCAGGGGAGCGAACGGG